rnacentral:rRNA from 1 species
GACGAACGCUGGCGGCGUGCUUAACACAUGCAAGUCGAACGAUGAAGAAAAGAAUUGAAGCUUCGGCAGAAAUUCAUUUCGGAUUAGUGGCAGACGGGUGAGUAACGCGUGAGCAACCUACCUCUUACAAAGGGAUAGCCUCGGGAAACCGGGAUAAAUACCAUAUAACAUUGCGACGAAGCAUUUCGAUGCAAUCAAAGCUACGGCGGUAAGAGAUGGGCUCGCGUCCCAUUAACCAGAUGGUGAGGUAACGGCUCACCAUAGUAACGAUGGGUAACCGGGCUGAGAGGGUGAACGGUCACACUGGAACUGAGACACGGUCCAGACUCCUACGGGAGGCAGCAGUGGGGAAUAUUGCACAAUGGAGGGAACUCUGAUGCAGCGACGCCGCGUGAGUGAUGAAGGAAUUCGUUUCGUAAAACUCUGUUCUAUGGGAAGAAAAGGACUGUACCAUAGGAGAAAGCUCCGGCUAAAUACGUG